CUGAGUUCUAAUCCAGACUCCCCCGCUACCAGGGUGACCUUGGGCGAGAUCACAUCUUUCUUUACAUUAGUUGUACUGCUGGUAACCAAGGGAGCACCAUGUCAGAAAACGACCACAUGACGUAGUUCGCUCAGCUGUUGAGAUCACUCUCUUGGUGUGCUGCUUUGUGUCUGACAGGAGGAGUAACAACCAGCCUCCGAGAUGAGGACUAAUUCCAGCACUUGUGAAAGACGCUGGGGAAGAUUAAAGACAACUGGAGAAUUCACUGGAGUGGCAUAAAAAAAAAAUUAUCUGAGUGACGUAUUGAUUAAUGAAGCCACUCCUAGAAACCAAUGAAAAUCAUUAAAGAAUAUUCUUAAGUACUUUUAGGAGUUUCUCUUUUUUGGUUUGUGUACAUAGAGAAAUAUGUAGUAACAUUACUCAUGCUUCAAGUUACUAAUUUAAAAAUACAAUUGUUUUUACUAGACUUUAAAAAAUAUUGGAAUAUACUCUCUCACCACAGCAAGAUUCUGACUUCAUUUC
rnacentral:lncRNA from 1 species